AGAGAGAGAGAGGAGCGAGCCUGCGUAUGUCGAAGAAACGGGCGGAUCGAUCCUUUGCACGGUUGCCUUCCCCGGUUUAUAUAGUGGAGCACGGUAUGGCGCCGUCAUUAAUGGCGCGGACAAGUGAGGAACUGUCAACUCACUGUGGGCCGCCAGAGCCGCCGUGAAAACAUCAUGUCGCCGUGUAGCCGUCUAAUCACCAGGGUUGACCCGGCUCUCGGCGGGAUAAUGCCCCUAGGUAACUGUGCCGCAUGUCCGUGUCAGAGCUGACAACGUCUGG
rnacentral:lncRNA from 1 species